UUUAAUUGAAGAGUUUGAUCAUGGCUCAGAUUGAACGCUGGCGGCAGGCCUAACACAUGCAAGUCGAGCGGAAACGAAGAGUAGCUUGCUACUCUGGCGUCGAGCGGCGGACGGGUGAGU
rnacentral:rRNA from 1 species